ACUUAAAUAUUUAAAAAAAUAAAAAAAAUAUACUAAUACACUUAAAAUUACUUUUUUAAUCAUUAAAUAAAAAUAAAAAAUAAAAAUAAAAACUUUUUUCCGAACAGUCAAGUAAAGCGGUAAGAAUUGGUGGGCACAACAGCUUGUUUCCACUAGAUAAAGAAUGUUCUAGAGAAGCGCAAC